rnacentral:lncRNA from 1 species
AAAAUGGGAAGAGAUAAUGAAACUCCCAAAUGUUCAGUGAUAUGAAGGAGGAAAAGAUUUCUAAAAUAAAGAACUAAAUCUGCACAUGGAAAUCUAUUCCAAGAAAAACUAUAGAGAAUGAAAUAUAUCUUUGUAAAGUUAGUGAAUGUCAACAAUGACUAAACAAAGGUUUCUGUGGACACAAUGGUAGGAGGAAGUCACUUCUGAGGGGCGCAACCUCACAGACCACUGAGUUUUCCAGGGCAGCAAUCACUGCCAGAAGACAGUAGAGCAGUACCUAUGGGCCCAGAAGGGGAAAAGGUAGUGUGACCCAGGGAUUACAUGGCCGAGUUGUUACUUUGUUGUUGAUAGUUGACCGCAACAGAUCUAUUCCACUUGUAAAGACUUGAAGAAUAUAAUGACCAUGGACUCUCUUGAAAAGAAAAUCCUUGAAGAUAAGAUAAAAUACAGCCAAACAAAAAAUGGAACUAAAUCGCUGAAAGCUGAAAAGGAGUUGGGGAAUGGCAAUGAACCCUGAGACCACUGAGAAAUAGAAACAGGGCCAAACAACUGUGGAGCUUAUCAUCACAUAAUAUGAGGAUUCUAGACACUGGAAUAGAAAAGACUCGUGUGGGAAAGAAGUUCAGAGACUGGCCAGUGGUCUCACAGAUUUCAUCUUGCUCUCAAGGCCCUGCAGUGGCGACAGUGGGGAGGAUUUAAGAUUGCCAGUUCCAGGCCUUAGAAGCAGAAACUCCAGUACCUACGGGAAGGAUGCUGCAGCCGCGUGUCUGUGGAUACUGAAGGAGCAAUGACUUGAUGGAGAGUCAGCUGAAGAUUUUAUUCAACAAGAAAAAUAUUCUGUAGAGAAAGUACGAAUGGAUCAUGUGAAUAAGUAGGGAAAACACUGUUUAAAAGUUCAAGAGAACAGAAUAUUUUAUAAUUGUAUCUUAGAAUCUGCCACUCAUGUACACAUCUCAGAUGUGCCAGUUUCUCUCCAUCUUGCUCUAGUCUACAACAGUUAGUGAGGAGCAGCAUGUUUGAGGCCACAUUGAGGACAUAUGCUGUGGAAAGUUGUGCCUUGGCCUUAGAGCCACAGAAUUCUCAGUGCUAAUCCCCGCUCGCCACUUAAUAGCUGUGUGAGCUUUGGUAAAUCAAGGGAUUUCAAAUCACUUGAUUUCUCUGUGCCCCAAUUCCUUCUUCACCCUCUGGGGAUCUUGUAAAGACU